rnacentral:rRNA from 1 species
GACGAACGCUGGCGGCGUGCUUAAUACAUGCAAGUCGAACGGAAAGGCCCUGCUUUUGUGGGGUGCUCGAGUGGCGAACGGGGGAGUAACACGUGAGUAUCCUGCCCUUGUCUUUGGGAUAACUUCAGGAAACUGGGGCUAGUACCGGAUAGGAGCUCCUGCUGCAUGGUGGGGGUUGGAAAGUUUCGGCGGUUGGGGAUGGACUCGCUGGUUAUCAGCUUGAUGGUGGGGUAGUGGCUUACGAAGGCUUUGAGGGGUAGCCGGCCUGGGAGGGUUAACGGGGGCAUGGGGCCUGAGGGAGGCACCAGAAUGGUACGGGAGGCAGCGGUGGAGAGUAUUGCGGAAUGGGGGGGAGCGUGAUGCGGAGGUGUCGGGUGCGGGAUGACGGGUUUCGGGUUGAAAACCGCUGUGGCAUGUGACGAGGCGUGAGUGACGGUAAUGGGUAAGAAAGCACCGGCUAACUACGUG